GAGUGGCGGACGGGUGAGUAACACGUGGGUAACCUGCCCAGAAGCAGGGGAUAACACCUGGAAACAGAUGCUAAUACCGUAUAACAGAGAAAACCGCCUGGUUUUCUUUUAAAAGAUGGCUCUGCUAUCACUUCUGGAUGGACCCGCGGCGCAUUAGCUAGUUGGUGAGGUAACGGCUCACCAAGGCGAUGAUGCGUAGCCGACCUGAGAGGGUAAUCGGCCACAUUGGGACUGAGACACGGCCCAGACUCCUACGGGAGGCAGCAGUAGGGAAUCUUCCACAAUGGACGCAAGUCUGAUGGAGCAACGCCGCGUGAGUGAAGAAGGGUUUCGGCUCGUAAAGCUCUGUUGUUAAAGAAGAACGUGGGUGAGAGUAACUGUUCACCCAGUGACGGUAUUUAACCAGAAAGCCACGGCUAACUACGUGCCAGCAGCCGCGGUAAUACGUAGGUGGCAAGCGUUAUCCGGAUUUAUUGGGCGUAAAGCGAGCGCAGGCGGUCUUUUAAGUCUAAUGUGAAAGCCUUCGGCUCAACCGAAGAAGUGCAUUGGAAACUGGGAGACUUGAGUGCAGAAGAGGACAGUGGAACUCCAUGUGUAGCGGUGAAAUGCGUAGAUAUAUGGAAGAACACCAGUGGCGAAGGCGGCUGUCUGGUCUGUAACUGACGCUGAGGCUCGAAAGCAUGGGUAGCGAACAGGAUUAGAUACCCUGGUAGUCCAUGCCGUAAACGAUGAUUACUAAGUGUUGGAGGGUUUCCGCCCUUCAGUGCUGCAGCUAACGCAUUAAGUAAUCCGCCUGGGGAGUACGACCGCAAGGUUGAAACUCAAAAGAAUUGACGGGGGCCCGCACAAGCGGUGGAGCAUGUGGUUUAAUUCGAAGCUACGCGAAGAACCUUACCAGGUCUUGACAUCUUCUGCCAACCUAAGAGAUUAGGCGUUCCCUUCGGGGACAGAAUGACAGGUGGUGCAUGGUUGUCGUCAGCUCGUGUCGUGAGAUGUUGGGUUAAGUCCCGCAACGAGCGCAACCCUUAUUACUAGUUGCCAGCAUUCAGUUGGGCACUCUAGUGAGACUGCCGGUGACAAACCGGAGGAAGGUGGGGACGACGUCAAAUCAUCAUGCCCCUUAUGACCUGGGCUACACACGUGCUACAAUGGAUGGUACAACGAGUCGCGAAACCGCGAGGUUUAGCUAAUCUCUUAAAACCAUUCUCAGUUCGGACUGUAGGCUGCAACUCGCCUACACGAAGUCGGAAUCGCUAGUAAUCGCGGAUCAGCAUGCCGCGGUGAAUACGUUCCCGGGCCUUGUACACACCGCCCGUCACACCAUGAGAGUUUGUAACACCCAAAGCCGGUGGGGUA
rnacentral:rRNA from 1 species